AGAAUCAACGCUGGCGGCGUGCCUAACACAUGCAAGUCGAACGAGAAAGUGGAGCAAUCCAUUAGUAAAGUGGCGCACGGGUGAGUAACACGUGACUAACCUACCCUUGAGUGGGGGGAUAACUUCGGGAAACCGAGGCUAAUACCGCAUAAUACCUACGGGUCAAAGGAGCAAUUCGCUUUAGGAGGGGGUCGCGGUCGAUUAGUUAGUUGGCGGGGUAAUGGCCCACCAAGACUGUGAUCGAUAUCCGGCCUGAGAGGGCGCACGGACACACUGGAACUGAAACACGGUCCAGACUCCUACGGGAGGCAGCAGUGGGGAAUCUUGCGCAAUGGGGGAAACCCUGACGCAGCAACGCCGCGUGGAGGAUGAAGUCCCUUGGGACGUAAACUCCUUUCGAUCGGGACGAUAAUGACUGUACCGGAAGAAGAAGCCCGGCUAACUUCGUGCCAGCAGCCGC
rnacentral:rRNA from 1 species